rnacentral:rRNA from 1 species
GGGUCAGUAGGUUGGUCGUGCCACCGGUACGUACUGGUCUCACUGAUUCCUCCUUCCUGAAGAACCAUAAUGCCAUUAAUUUGGUGUUGCGGGGAAACAGGACUGUUACUUUGAAAAAAUUAGAGUGUUUAAAGCAAGCUAACGCUUGAAUACAUUAGAAUGGAAUAAUGAAAUAGGACGAUCGAUCCUAUUUUGUUGGUUUCUAGGAUUGACGUA